GCCCUAGUAACGGCGAGUGAAGCGGCAACAGCUCAAAUUUGAAAUCUGGCGCAAGCCCGAGUUGUAAUUUGUAGAGGAUGCUUCAGGGCAGCGGCCGGUCUAAGUUCCUUGGAACAGGACGUCAUAGAGGGUGAGAAUCCCGUAUGCGACCGGUUGGCACCCGUCACGUAGCUCCUUCGACGAGUCGAGUUGUUUGGGAAUGCAGCUCUAAAUGGGAGGUAAAUUUCUUCUAAAGCUAAAUACCGGCCAGAGACCGAUAGCGCACAAGUAGAGUGAUCGAAAGAUGAAAAGCACUUUGGAAAGAGAGUUAAAAAGCACGUGAAAUUGUUGAAAGGGAAGCGCAUGCAACCAGACUUGUCGGCGGUGUUCCGCCGGUCUUCUGACCGGUCUACUCGCCGCCGGCAGGCCAGCAUCAUCUGGGUGCGCCGGACAAAGGCGCGGGGAAUGUAGCUCCUCGGAGUGUUAUAGCCCCGCGCACAAUACGGCGCCGCCCGGGUGAGGUCCGCGCUUCGGCUAGGAUGCUGGCGUAAUGGUUGUAUGCGGCCCGUCUUGAAACACGGACCAAGGAGUCUAACAUCUAUGCGAGUGUUCGGGUGUCAAACCCCUACGCGGAAUGAAAGUGAACGGAGGUGGGAAGCGCAAGCUGCACCAUCGACCGAUCCUGAUGUCUUCGGAUGGAUUUGAGUAAGAGCAUAGCUGUUGGGACCCGAAAGAUGGUGAACUAUGCCUGAAUAGGGUGAAGCCAGAGGAAACUCUGGUG
rnacentral:rRNA from 2 species